GACGAACGCUGGCGGCGUGCUUAACACAUGCAAGUCGAACGGAAAGGCCCUGCUUUUGUGGGGUGCUCGAGUGGCGAACGGGUGAGUAACACGGGAGUAACCUGCCCUUGACUUUGGGAUAACUUCAGGAAACUGGGGCUAAUACCGGAUAGGAGCUCAUGCUGCAUGGUGGGGGUUGGAAAGGUUCGGCGGUUGGGGAUGGACUCGCGGCUUAUCAGCUUGUUGGUGGGGUAGUGGCUUACCAAGGCUUUGACGGGUAGCCGGCCUGAGAGGGUGACCGGCCACAUUGGGACUGAGAUACGGCCCAGACUCCUACGGGAGGCAGCAGUGGGGAAUAUUGCACAAUGGGCGGAAGCCUGAUGCAGCAACGCCGCGUGCGGGAUGACGGCCUUCGGGUUGUAAACCGCUUUCGCCUGUGACGAAGCGUGAGUGACGGUAAUGGGUAAAGAAGCACCGGCUAACUACGUGCCAGCCGCCGCGGUAA
rnacentral:rRNA from 1 species